AUACGAAUAUGGAACCAUUUCCUGUCGUGCCAUGUCCUAUAAAAAAUGUUCUCUUCCCAAAAAAGUUAUGGGAACUGGUCAACGACGUCAAAAUUACCGCUAUCAACUGGAACAGCAGCGGCAAUGCUAUCAUUGUCCGUCAGGAUCUGAUAGAGAGCCAGGUUUUCCUGUUGGACGUCUUCAAAGCCACCACCUUCUUGAGUUUUGUGCGACAGCUUCAUUACUACGGUUUUAGGAAAUGCAAGCGAUGGAGUAGAGAAAGGCCAAACAUUCAUCAGUAUUCCCACCCCAACUUUAUGAGAAGCCACCCAGAGCUUCUCUCCUUCAUUAAGAGGUAUCCUCGACGACAGUGGGACAAGGUCAAGAGUACCAUCAGCACCCCAACUACCCAGCAUUUAUUCCCCAAAGUGGUCAAUGCGGCAAGUACUCAUUUGAACCACAUGCCCAGAAGGCCUGCAGAAACCUAUCACAUGGGAGUGGAUCCAAAUCCACAGCCCAUGCACCAUCUGAUCCCAUCAAAUCCAAAUAAGCACCACCUCAAUGGCUUCAUCAACUCAGGUUUCUGGGGCCCACAUCACAACCCUGUUGCUCCAUAUGGUUUCAAUCCCGUUGGUUCUUCUCUGACUGGAUAUUCGAGGAACACCAGUCAGGUUCCGGCCCCACAGCGCAUGGGCCCCGUUUCUGGGCUUGAAGCGAAGAUGGCGUCUCCAUCCAUCAAUGGCUCAGACACCCAGCCCCUCACCAACAAAGCACAAAGCAGCCCUGUUCCUGAAGCUGUGGAGGAAGCAGAAGACUCGGGCCCUAUGUGA
rnacentral:lncRNA from 1 species